UCUUAUAGGGUCGCUAUGAGUUGGGAUCAACUUGAUGGCACUGGGUUUAACAUUUUCUUUGUUCCUUGUACUCUCUUGUGCUGAGUUCCUUUUGUUUGUGGAUUUCUUUUUUAUUUCUUUUGUUUUUGUAGAUUUUUUUUUAAAUUGAGACUUUAUGUUUUUCUUCUUUAUUUUGAUGAGUAGGUUUGUUAACUUUCUUUGUGGUUACCUUGAAAUUUACCCUUAUCUUCCUAGGUUUGAACCUAGGUAUCACUUUUUCUUCCUCUCCCUUAGAAUGUUCUGUACCUACACAGUUUAUUCCCUUUUUUUAUUACUCUGAUGUUGUUGUCAUGUACACAGUAACCUCUUGGGUUCCUUACUGUAUUUUGUUUGGUUUGGAUAGCCCUUGAGAACUAAUUUCCUAUGUUGGCACCUGGCUGGUACAAUCUUGCAUCCUAGAUUCAGGCUGUGGUCUGAUGUUGUUUAUUCUCUGACCGAAGGACUCCCUUCAAUAAUUCUUGUAAGUUUGGUUUGGUUUUUACAUAUUUCCUAAUUUUUGUUUGUCUGGAAAUGUCCUAAUUUCACAAUCAUAUUUGAAUGAGAGUUUUGCGGGAUACUUUAUUCAUGGUUGGCAACUUUUUUCUUUCCAAGUUUUAUAUAUGUCCUCCCUUUGCCUUUUUGCCUGCAUGGUUUCUGCUGAAUAAUCGUAGUCUUAUUGUUUCUCCUCCUUUUGUGAGUUUUUGUUUUUCUUGAGCUGCCAGGAGGAUUUUUUCCUUCAUCUUUGGUUUUAGCAAGUGUGAUUAUGAUAUGCCUUGGUGAUUUUCUUUUGGGGUCUAUCCUAUAUGGGGUUCGUUGAGCUUCUUGGAUGGUCAGCUUUUCAUCUUUCUUGAUAUUAGGGAAGUUUUCUGUCAACAAUUCUUCCAUGAUCCUCUCUGUGUUUUCCGUUUUCUCCCCCUGUCCUGGAACUCAGAUCACUUGCAAGUUUUUGCUUUUGAUUGUAUCCCACAAAAUUCUCCGGGGUUCUUCAUUCUUUUUUUCUGGUUUUUCCUCAAACAGAGUUGUAUCCAAGUGUUUGUCUUCAGUUUUGCUGAUUCUGUCUCCCAUCAUUUCAAACCUACUCUCCAGCCCUUCUAUGACACUGUCCAUUUCUGAAAUCUUGCUGUUUAUCUUUGGAUUUCUAAUUAUUGUUUUUGUAUGAUUUCAAGCUGUGAAUUUAUUUUGGCUUUUUGUUCCUGUAUUAUUUUGCUGAAAUCUUCCAUUUUUUUUUGGUCUGUAUUUUCCAUGAAUUUUCCUGACUUUUUCUUGACUUUCUCUAUUUUUUCCUCAUUUUUGUCUGAUUUUUAUUUCAACUCCUGGGUAGCUCUGAAUAUUAGAGAUUUGAGUUCCCUAUCAUGUGGCUCUAGUGUCUUUUCUUCUACUGGAAAGUCAUCUGGUGUUUUAUUUUGGAUGCCUACUGGAAACAUACUGUCUAUUUUUUAUUUUUUAUAUUGUCUGUUGUCUUUGGGACAUUCAGUAGUUAUUUUCUUCAUUUAUUCAUUGUACCUCUGUUUGUUUCACCCUGCUUUUUUGUUUUAUUUGGUUAUGUCUGAGGAGUGAGGCUGUGUGUUCUUUGUUGCUUACUUGUCUGUGGUCACGAUAGUUUUCACCUCCUUGUCCAAUGGGCAGAACCAGUUGCUCAGCUAUGGUGCAGCAAGGCAGGCUCAGCUGAAGGGGAGGGGCUAGGAUGGGUUGUUUGUGGUAUGCACUAGGGUCAACAGAGUGGGCUGGGAAAUUGAAGGGCAGGCCAUGCCUGUGCUGCUUGGGGGUGUGAUGUUCAGUGCAUGGUACAUGUAGGCAAGCAGGAGGGGGGAGGUUGUGAUGUGUGGAGCUUAUAUUUGUAGGGGAAAGAGGAGAGAAAGGAGAGAGAAACAAGAUCCAAAAACAAACAAACAAAAAAGGGCCCUAAGGGAGCUUGCUGUUGGGAUGCAGAGAUGAGGAACUGAUAAAUGGAGAAAAACAAAAGGGAAAAAGAAAAAAAACAAUCACUUGUUAAAAAUUUGAAGAAAAAAAAAAAAAGAAAAGCCCCCAGGGAUCCCACUAAUGGGGCUGCAAAUAUCAGAGAAGUGGCUGCCAGGCUGUGCCGUACAGCCUAUCUAGAGGUGGUAUAGAUGAUGUCACACAGCAGCACCUAUUCAGGAGACAGGAAAAGCAGAUAAGUACAGAGAGAUACGAACUGAGACGUGAAGAAAAAUAGAAAGGGAAAAAAGAGAAAGAAAAAAAGAAAUGAGCCCAGGGAUCCCACCGAUGUGGCUGCACAGAUUGGGGGAGUGGCUCCUAAGUCAUGCAGUGCAGCCCAGCUAGAAGGGGCUUGCAAGCCACGAAAAGAAAAAGAAAAUGAACAAGCAAACAAAGCAGAACAAAACAUGGCAAAAAAAAAAAAAAAAAAAAGCCCCAGUGAUUUCACCAGCUUGGUGUCUUGGGCUGGGGGAGUGGUUCCCCAGUUGAGUGGCACUUCAUGACCUUUCAAGAGGAAGUAAAGAUGGCACAUGGAGCCAGGCAUUGGAGAGAAAGGAGGGGGAGGUGGUGGCAAGCAUGGAAGAAACCAAAGAAAUGGAAAAAAAGCAAUAACAGCAACAGAGAAAUGGCACUCAGGGAGCCCGCCAGCGUGGGUGGGGUGAAUCCAAACAGUCACCAGCUGAAGCAGUUGCCUCCUGGCCAGGAGACUGUGGCUGGCAGGAAGCAGAGGUGGCAGUGCAGGGGAGGGAAGAAGGUUGGGGGUUAGGAAAGGGUAUAUCUCUGGUUACUGGGUGCUCUGUCAACUGCUGGGGACUUCGUGAAGCUACUUUCCUGUACUCCCUGUCCACUGAUUUCCAAUGUGGGUGAGGUGAAUCCAAGCGGCACAGAACCUUCAAUUCCUGGCUGGCCAAGCCACUGCUGACAACCAGGAAGCACAGAGGUCUUUGUUGUAAGAGGUACCACAGGAAGUGUCUGACUACUCUGCCAUCUUGGCGCUGCCUCCCCAAUAUGGCACUAUUCCUCAAGGUGAUUGGCCAGAAAACUGGUGGCAGGUUGAUUACAUUGGAGUGCUUCCAUCAUGGAAAGGGCAACAUUUCUUUCUUACUGGAAUUGACAUUUACUCUGGAUAUGGAUUUGUCUUCCCUUCAAGCAAUGCCUCUGCUAAAACCACCAUCCAGGACUCAUGGAAUGUCUUACCCACUGUCAUGGUAUCCCACACAGCAUUGCCUCAGAUCAAGGAACUCACUUCACAGCAAAUGAAGUAUGACAAUGGAUCCAUGCUCAUGGAAUCACUGGUUUUACCCUGUUCUCCAUUAUUCUGAAGCAAUGGGCUUGAUAGAACAAUGGGAUGGCCUUCUAAAGACACAAUUGCAACACCUGCUAGGUAGCAACACUUUGUAGGGUUGUGGCAAUGUUCUCCAGGAGACUGUAUAUGCUUUAAACCAGCAUCCAAUAUAUGGUGAUGCUUUUCCAAUAGCCAGGAUUCACUGUUCCAGGAAUCAGGUGGUAGAGAUGGGACCGGCAUCACUCACUAAUACCUUUAGUGACCCACUUGCAAAAUUUUUGCUUCCUGUCCCAUGACCUUAUGCUCUGUGGGUCUAGAGGUCUUAGUUCCAAAGGAGUAAUGCUCCCACCUGGAGACACAACUUGGAUGUCAUUGAACUAGAGAUUAAGAUAUAUAUAUGUAUGAUCUCUAGUGUAUAUAUAUAUAUGUGUGUGUGUGUGUGUAUAUGAUCUUGGGUAUAUCCCACCUGAAUUUAGAGACCAUAUCAAGAAUAGAUUUGAUGCAUUGCACUCUAAUGAAUGAAGAGCUGAUGAGUUGUGGAAUGAUAUCAAGGACAUUAUAAAUGAAGAAAGCAAGAGGUUAUUAAAAAGACAGGAAAGAAAGAAAACACCAAAAUGGAUGUCAGAAGAGACUCUGAAAGUUGCUCUUGAAUGCAGAGUAGCUAAAGCGAAAGGAAGAAAAGAUUACAUAAAAGAGCUGAGCAGAAGAUUUCAAAGGGCAGCUCAAGAAGAAAAAGUAAAUAUUAUAAUGAGAUGUGCCAAGGACAUGGAGACAGAAAACUCAGUCUUGAGUUGAAAUUUUGAAGAAUUCUGUGGGCAAAAUAUUGAAUCACACAGGAAGCACCAAAAGAAGAUGGAAGGAAUGCACAGACUUAUUGUACCAAAAAAAAAAAAAAAAAAAAUUGUAGACAUUCAACCAUUUCAUAUGAUCAAGAUGCAGAUGAUCAAGAACUGAUGGUGGAGGCAGAGCCAAGAUGGCAGAAUAAUCAGAAGCUUCCCUCGAGCCCUCUUUACAACAAAGACCCAAAAAAACAAGUGAAACGAGUAUAUUUGUGACAAGCUGGGAGGCCUGAGCAUCAAAGGCAAGCUUAGACAAUGAACUGAGGGGCAGGGGAAGGAAGAGACAGUUCAGAAGUGGAGAGAAGUUGCCGGACCUGAAUCUGGGAGCCCUCAGGCACCAUUCUGGGAACGGCUGGGGCAGUGGUGGCAGCGGUGGCAACGGGCUGGUCCUAGCAUUGGGCCGCAGUUUCCUUAGGGAGAAGCAGCCAGCCACACAGCCCACUCACACCUCCAGAACCUGAGGAGAAGGGUGCUCUCUGCAAAAGCUAAGUACUUGUGUAUAUUUUACCGCCCCCCCCACCCCAACCCAGCUUCAGUGGCUGAAUCCCUAGGCCUGAGAUAGACCCUGGUGAGCACCUGGAGCCGUCCUCCCAGCCUUGGGGAGGGAAAAAAUUUCCAAAUGGGGGCAAGAGAUAAUUUGCUAGCUCCAUUAACUGGGGGAGCUCAGGACAGAAGUGGCUCCUGUCCAGACAUAAACCGUCCAUGGACCUUGAGCACUUUUCCCUUCUGCAUGGACCUGUGUGGGCCUACUUCAGGAGAAUAGGCCCUUGUUGGCAAAAUCCGACCAUUUCAGUGGUGCAGUGGAGAGGUGGGUGUUUGACGUUUGAGAUUGCUUUCCUAUUAAACAAUGUUCUCACCUACCCACAACAGGGACCUAAGGACUGGUGGCUCCACUUGGGUCACCCAGCCACCUGCGACAGGGGCCCAGGGAUAACUGGUACCUCCCAGUUCUUACAACAAAACCUUUGGGUGCCCAUGGUCCCUCUGCAGAGCCCACCCACCAGCACACUCUAGGGAACAGAGAUGCGUUUUCCUCAGAGACACUUGGGGGUCAGUUCUCAGCCCACUGCCCUGUUCAGAGCGUGACCCCUGCUGCAAUCAGGUACGGGUAUACACGCCAAUCACCCCUGCCCCUCUAAGGCUGUAGGGCAGAGCCUGUACCACACACUUGAUAUCAACUACCUGGAAACCCGAGCUGAAUUCAUACAAGAAAACUGAAUGGACUCCUAAACUGAUAUAUCUGAUAACAGCUCUAGCCAGCUGGGGACAGGACACCACAGCUCGAAAGGCGAAAAUAAUCAAGCUAGCUCACUCAAGCAACCCAUAGGGGUAUACCAAAACAAAACAAAGCAAGCAGCUACGACACAGUAAGCAAGCAUAAACUAAUACAAUAACUUAUAGAUGGCUUGGAGACAACAGUCAAUAUCAAGUUACAUAAAGAAAUAGGCCAUGAUCACCACAACAGGCUUUCAAAACAAAGAAUUCAGGGAUCUUUUAGAUGAAAGUGCAUUCCUAGAAUUACCAGAUGCAGAAUACAAAAGUUUAAUAUACAGAACCCUUCAAGACAUGAGGAAGGAAAUGAGGCAAUAUGCAGAACAAGCCAAGGAACACACAGAUAAAGCAACUGAAGAACUCAGAAAGAUUAUUCAGGAACAUAAUGAAAGUUUAAUAAGCUGGGAAAAUCCAGAGACAGACAGCAAUCAGAAAUUCAGAAGAUUAACACUAAAAUUACAGAAUUAGGUAACUCAAUAGAAGGUCAGAGGAGCAGAAUUGAGCAAGUAGAAGCUAGAAUUUCUGAACUCAAAGAUAAAUCACUCAGCACUAAUAUAUUUGAAGAAAAAUCAGAUAAAAGAAUUUUAAAAAAUGAAGAAACCUUAAGAAUCAUGUGGGACUGUAUCAAGAGAAACAACCUAUGAGUGAUAGGAGUACCAGAACAGGGAGGGAUAACAGAAAAUACAGAGAAAAUUGUUGAGGAUUUGUUGGCAGAAAACUUCCCUGAUAUUGUGAAAGAUGAGAAGAUAUCUAUCCAAGAUGCUCAUCGAACUCCACAUAAGGUAAAUCUUAAAAGAAAGUCACCAAGACAUAUUAUAAUCAAGCUUACCAAAACCAAAGAUAAGGAGACAAUUAUAAGAGCAGCGAGGGAUAAAAGAAAAGUCACCUGCAAGUGAGAGCCAAUAAGAAUAAGCUCGGACUACUUGGCAGAAACCAUGUAGGCAAGAAGGCAAUAGGAUGACAUAUUUAAAAAAAUUGAAGGAAAAAAUUGCCUGCCAAGAAUCACAUAUCCAGUAAAACUGUCUCUUAAAUAUGAAGGUGAAAUUAAGACAUUUCCAGAUAAACACAAGUUGAGGGAAUUCAUAAAAACCAAACGAAAACUACAAGAAAUACUAAAGGGAGUUCUUUGGUUAGAAAAUCAGUAAUAUCAGCAUCGACCCAAGACUAGAACACUGGGCAGAGCAACCAGAAGUCAACCCAGACAGGGAAAUAAAAAAAAAAAACAACAACCAAAGCAAGAUUAAAAAAAAAAAAAAGCUCUACACAGGGUAACGGCAAUGUUAUUUAUAAAAGAAGACAACAUUAAAAUAAUAAACAGGGACUAAGAAAUGUAAUCAUACACCUUCCUUAUGGAGGGGAAGAUACGGCGAUACAAAGAAAUAAAAGUUAGUUAUAAAUUUAGAAAAAUAAGGAUAAAUAAUAAGGUAACCACAAAGGAGACAAACUAUCCUACUCAUCAAAAUAAAAUACAAGGGAAAAAUACAGACUCAGCAGAAACAAAAUCAACAACAACAAAUAUGAGGAAAGGAUACUGUGUAAAGAAAAUCUACUCGGCACAUAAAAUCAAGUGGGAAAAAGAAGCUGUCAACACACAAAAAAAGACAUCAAAAUGAUAGCACUAAAUUCCUACCUAUCUAUAAUUACCCUGAAUGUGAAUGGACUAAAUGCACCAAUAAAGAGACAGAGAGUGGCAGAAUGGAUUAAAAAACAAGAUCCGUCUAUACGCUGCCUACAAGAGACACGCCUUAGACUUAGAGACACAAACAAACUAAAACUCAAAGGAUGGAAAAAAAUAUAUCUGGCAAACAGCAAUCAAAAAAGAGCAGGAGUAGCAAUACUAAUUUCUGGCAAAUUAGACUUUAAAGUUAAAUCCAUCAUAAAGGAUAAGGAAGGACACUAUAUAAUGAUUAAAGGGACAAUACACCAAGAAGAUAUAACCAUAUUAAAUAUUUAUGCACCCAAUGACAGGGCUGCAAGAUACAUAAAAGAAAACUCUAUCAGCAUUGAAAAGUGAGAUAGACAGCUCCACAAUAAUAGUAGUAGGUUUCAACACACAACUUUCGGUGAAGGACGGGACAUCCAGAAAAAAGCUCAAUAAAGACAUGGAAGAUCUAAAUGCCACAAUCAACCAACUUGACCUCGUAGACAUAUACAGAACACUCCACCCAACAGCAACCAACUAUACUUUCUUUUCUAGUGCACAUGGAACAUUCUCUAGAAUAGACCACAUAUUAGGUCAUAAAGCAAGCCUUAGCAGAAUCCAAAACAUUGAAAUAUUACAAAGCAUGUUCUCUGACCUAAGGCCAUAAAAGUGGAAAUCAAUAACAAGAAAAGCAGGGAAAGGAAAUCAAACACUUGGAAACUGAACAAUAACCUGCUCAAAAAAGACUGGAUUAUAGAAGACAUUAAGGAUGGAAUAAAGAAAUUCAGAGAAUCCAAUGAGAAUGAAAACACUUCCUAUCAGAACCUUUGGUACACAGCAAAAGCAGUGCUCAGAGGCCAAUUUAUAUCAAUAAAUGCACACAUCCAAAAAGAAGAAAGGGCCAAAAUCAAAGAACUAUCCCUACAACUUGAACAAACAGAAAGAGACCAAUGAAAGAAACCCACAGGUGCCAGAAGAAAACAAAUAAUAAAAACUAGAGCUGAACUAAAUGAAAUAGAAAACAGAAAAACAAUUGAAAGAAUUAACAAGACCAAAAGCUGGUUUUUUGAAAAACUCAACAAAAUUGAUAAACCAUUGGCCAAACUGACAACAGAAAAACAGGAGAGGAAGCAAAUAACCUGAAUAAGAAAUGAGACAGGCGAUAUUACAACAGACCCAACUGAAAUUAAAAGAAUCAUAUCAGAUUACUAUGAAAAACUAUACUUAAACAAAUUUGAAAACCUAGAAGAAAUGGAUGAAUUCCUAGAAAUACACUACCUACCUAAACUAAUACAAACAGAGGUAGAACAACUAAAUAGACCCAUAACAAAAGAAGAGAUUGAAAGGGUAAUCAAAAAACUCCCAACAAAAAAAAAGCCCUGGUCCCGACGGCUUCACUGCAGAGCUCUAUUAAACUUUCAGAGAAGAGUUAACACCACUACUACUAAAGGUGUUUCAGAGCAUAGAAAAGGAUGGAAUACUACCAAAUUCAUUCUGUGAAGCCACCAUAUCCCGGAUACCCAAACCAGGUACCAAACACCACAAGAAAAGAAAAUUGUAGACCUAUAUCCCUCAUGAAUGUAGAUGCAAAAAUCCUCAACAAAAUUCUAGCCAAUAGAAUUCAACAACAUAUCAGAAAAAUAAUUCACCAUGACCAAGCGGGAUUCAUACCAGGUAUGCAGGGAUGAUUCAACAUUAGAAAAACAAUUAAUGUAAUCCACCACAUAAAUAAAACAAAAGACAAGAAUCACACGAUUUUAUCAAUUGAUGCAGAAAAGGCAUUUGACAAAGUUCAACACUCAUUCAUGAUAAAAACUCUCAGCAAAAUAGGAAUAGAAGAAAAAUCUCUCAACAUAAUAAAGGGCAUUUAUACAAAGCCAACAGCCAACAUCACCCUAAAUGGAAAGAGCCUGAAAACAUUCCCACUGAGAUCGGGAACCAGACAAGGAUGCCCUUUAUCACCACUCUUAUUCAACAUUGUGCUGGAAGUCCUGGCCAGAGCAAUUAGGCUAGGUAAAGAAAUAAAGGGCAUGCAGAUUGGCAAGCAAGAAGUAAAAGUAUUUCUAUUUGCAGUUGACUGUGCUCCUUGUAAACUCUAUGGGGCAGCUCUACUCUGUCCUAUAGGUUCGCUAGGAGUCGGAAUCGACUUGAUGGCACUGGGUACUGGGUAUGAUCUUAUACACAGAAAACCCUAAUGAAUCCUCCAGAAAACUACUGAAACUAAUAGAAGAGUUCAGCAGAGUAUUGGGAUACAAGAUAAAUGUACAAAAAUCAGUUGGAUUCCUUUACACCAACAAAAAGAACAUCGAAGAGGAAAUCACCAAAUCAAUGCCAUUUACAGUAGCCCCCAAGAAGAUAAAAUACUUAGGAAUAAAUCUUACCAGAGAUGUAAAAGACUUAGACAAGGAAAACUACAGUACACUUCAGCAAGAAACCAAAAGAGACUUACAUAAGUGGAAGAACAUACCUUGCUCAUGGAUAGGAAGACUUAACAUUAUAAAAAUGUCUGUUCUACCAAAAGCGAUCUAUACGUUUAACGCAAUUCCGAUCCAAAUUCCAACGACAUUCUUAAAUGAGAUGGAAAAACAAAUCACCAAUUUCAUAUGGAAGGGAAAGAGGCCGCGGAUAAAUAAGGCAUUACUGAAAAAGAAGAACAAAGUAGGAGGCCUUACUUUACCUGAUUUUAGAGCCUAUUAUACCUCCACAGUAGUCAAAACAGCCUGGUAUUGGCACAACAACAGAUACAUGGACCAAUGGAACAGAAUUGAGAAUCCAGACAUAAAUCCAUCCACAUAUGAGCAGCUGAUAUUUGACAAAGGCCCCAAAACAGUUAAAUGGGGAAAAGAUAGUCUUUUUAACAAAUGGUGCUGGCAUAACUGGAUAUCCAUCGACAAAAAAAUUAAACAAGACCCAUACCUCACUCCAUGCACAAAAACGAACUCAAAAUGGAUCAAAGACUGAAAUAUAAAAACUAAAAUGAUAAAGAUCAUGGAAGAAAAAAUACAGACAAUGUUAGGAGCCCUAAUAUAUGGCAUAAACAGUAUAGAAAACAUUAUAAAGAAUGUAGAAGAAAAACUAAAUAACUGGGAGCUCCUAAAAAUCAAACACUUAUGCUCAUCCAAACACUUCACCAAAAGAGUAAAAAGACUACCUACAGACUGGGAAAAAGCUUUUAGCUAUGACAUUUCUGAUUAGCUCCUGAUCUCUAAAAUCUACAUGGUACCACAAAAACUCAACUGCAAAAAGGCAAAUAACCCAAGUAAAAAACGGGCAAAAGAUAUGAAUAGAUACUUCACUAAGAAGACAUUCAGGUAGCUAACAGAUACAUGAGGAAAUGUUCAUGAUCAUUAGCCAUUAGAGAAACGCAGAUCAAAACUAAGAUGAGAUUAUCUCACUCCAACAAGGCUGGCAUUAAUCCAAAAAACACAAAAUAAUAAAUGUUGGAGAGGCUGUGGAGAGAUUGGAACACUUCUACACUGCUGGUGGGAAUGUCAAAUGGUACAACCACUUUGGAAAUCGAUUUGGUGCUUCCUUAAAAAGCCAGAAAUAGAACUACCAUACCAUCCAGCAAUCCCACUCCUUGGAAUAUAUCCUAGAGAAAUAAGAGCCUUUAUACGAACAGAUAUAUGCACACCCAUGUUUACUGUAGCACUGUUUACAAUAGCAAAAACACAGAAGCAAUUGAGGUGCCCAUCAACGGAUGAAUGGAUAAAUAAAUUAAGGCAUAUUCACACAAUGGAAUGCUGCGCAUCGAUAAAGAACCGUGAGGAAUCUGAGAAACAUUUCAUAACAUGGAGGAACCUGGAAGGCAUUAUGCUGAGUGAAAUUAGUCAGUUGCAAAAGGACAAAUAUUGCAUAAGACCACUAUUAUAAGAACUUGAGAAAUAGUUUAAACUGAGAAGAAAACAUUCUUUUGUGGUUACAAGAGGGGGGAGGGAGGGGAGGUGGGAGGGGGCAUUCACUAAUUAGAUAGUAGGUAAGAACUACUUUAGGUGAAGGGAUAGACAGCACACAGUACAGGGGAGGUCAGCACAAUUGGACUAAACCAAAAACAAAGAAGUUUCCUGAAUAAAUUGAAUGCUUCGAAGGCCAGCGUAGCAGGGGCAGAGGUCUGGGGACCAUGGUUUCAGGGGACAUCUAAGUCAACGGGCAUAAUAAAAUCUGUUAAGAAAACAUUCUGCAUCCCACUUUGAAGAGUUGUGUCUGGAGUCUUAAACGCUAGCAAGCAGCCAUCUAAGAUGCAUCAAUUGGUCUCAACCCACCUGGAUCAAAGGAGAAUGAAGAACACCAAGGACGCAAGGUGAUUACGAGCCCAAGAGACAGAAAAGGCCACAUGAACCAGCGACUACAUCAUCCUGAGACCAGAAGAACUAGAUGCUGCCCGGCUACAACUGAUGACUGCCCUGACAGGGAACACAACAGAGAACCCCUGAGGGAGCAGGAGAGCGGUGGGACGCAGACCCCAAACUCUCAUAAGACCAGAUUUAAUGGUCUGACUGAGACUGGAAGGACCCCAGCAGUCAUGCCCCCAGACCUCCUGUUGGCCCAGGACAGGAACCAUUCCUGAAGCCAACUCUUCAGACAUGGAUUGGACUGGACAAUGGGUUGGAGAGGGGUGCUGGUGAGGAGUGAGCUUCUUGGAUCAGGUGGACACUUGAGACUAUGUUGGCAUCUCCUGCCUGGAGAUGAGAGGGUGGAGGGGGUUAGAAGCUGGCAAAAAGGGCAUGAAAAGAGAGAGUGGAGGGAGAAAGCAGGCUGUCUCAUUAGGGGGAGAGUAAUUGGGAGUGUGUAUCAAGGUGUAUAUGGGUUUUUGUGUGAGAGACUGACUUGAUUUGUAAACUUUCACUUAAAGCACAAUAAAAAUUAUUAAAAAAAAAAAACAAACUGAUGGUACUGAAGUAAGAAGUCCCAGCUGCACUGGAGGCAUUGGCAAAAAACAAGGCUACAGGAAUUGAUGGAAUGCCAAUUGAGAGGUUUCAAGAAACUGAUGCAGUGCUGGAAGUACUCACUUGCCUAUGCCAAGAAAUUUGGAAGACAGCUACCUGGCCAACCACCUGGAAGAGAUCCAUAUUUGUACCCACUCCAAAAAAAGGUGGCCCAACAGAAUGCAGAAUUUUUGAACAGUAUCAUUAAUAUCACAAAAACAAGUAAAAUUUUGCUGAAAAUCAUCUAAAAGUGGUUGCAGCAGUAUAUUGCAGGGAACUUCCAGAAAUUCAAGCCACGUUCAGAAGAGGACAGGGAACAAAGACUAUCAUUGCUGAUGUCAAAUGGAUUAUGGCUGAAAGCAAAGAAUACCAGAAAGAUGUUUACCUGUGUUUUACUGACUAUGCAAAGGCAUUUGACCGUGUGGAUCAUAACAAAUUACACAUAAUGUUGAGAAGAAUGGAAAUUCCAGAGCACUUAAUUGUGCUCAUGGGGAACCUGUACUUAGACCAAGAGGCAGUUGUUUGAACAUAACAAGGAGAUACUGCAUGGCUUAAUGUCAGGAAAGGUGUGUGUCAGGGUUGUAUCCUUUCACAAUACUUACUCAGUCUGUAUGCUGAGCAAAUAACCCAAGGAGCUGAACUAUACGAAGAAGAAUGGAGAAUCAGGAUUGGAGGAAGGCCCAUUAAAAAGCUAUGAUAUGCAGAUGGCACAAUCUUGCUUGCUGAAAUUGGAGAGAACUUGAAGCACUUACUGAUGGAGAUCAAAGACUACAGCCUUCAGCAUGGAUUAUACUUCAACAUAAAGAAAACAAAAAUCCUCAAAACUGGACCAAUAAGCAACAUCAUGAUAAAUGGAGAAAAGAUUGAUGUUGUCAAGUAUUUCACUGCUUGGAUCCAUAAUCAACGCCCAUGGAAGGAGCAGUCAAGGAAUCAAAAGACACAUUGCAUUGGAUAAAUCUGCUCAAAAGACCUCUUUAAAGUGUUAAAAAGCAAAGAUGUCACUUUAAGGACUAAGCUGGACCUGACCCAAGCCAUGAUGUUUUCAAUCACCUCAUACACAUGUGAAAGCUGAACAAUGAAAAAGGGGCACUGAAGAAGAGUUGAUGCCUUUGAAUUAUGGUGUUGGCGAAGAACACUGAAUAUACCAGGAACUGCCAAAGAACAAACCUGUCUUGGAAAAAGUACAGCCAGAAUGCUCAUUAGAAGUGAGAAUGGUAAGACUUCAUCUCACAUACUUUGGACAUGUUAUCAGGAGGGACUAGUCAUUGCAGAAGGAUAUCAUACUUGGUAGAGGGUUAGCAAAAAAGAGGAAGGCCCUCAACCAUAUGGAUUGACACAGUGGCUGCAACAAUGGGCUCAACGUAGCAACAAUUGUGAAGAUGGCGCAGUGCCUGGCAGUGUUUUGUUCUGUCAUGUGUGGGGCUGCUAUGAGUCGGAACUGGCUCCAAGGUCGAGAAUGCCAUCUGGCCACUUUGGGCUUCUCAUGACCCUGGAUCAACAGGCAAAGAAAGGUGUUACCAUAUUAACUUGUGUGAUUGACCCUGACUACCAAAGGAAAUUAGACUGAUGAUGCAUAAUGGAGGUAAAAACAAGUGUGUCUGAAAUAUAGGAAAUCCUUUAAGAUGUCUUGUAGUACUACCAUGCCCUGUGAUUAAAGUCGAUGGAAAACUAUAGCAACCCAGUUGUGACACGACAACUAAUGGCCCAGAUCCUUCAGAAAUGAAGGUUUGGAUCAUCCCACCAGGCAAAUAACCACGACCAGUUGAAGUGCUUUCUGAGGGUAAAGGAAAUAUGGAAUGGGUGGUGGAAGAAGGUAGUUCUAAAUGCCAGCUAUGACCACAUGAACAGUUGCAGGAAUGAGGACUGUAAUCAUUAGGGGUAUUUCUCCCUUGUAUGUGUGUAUCAAAUAUUUUUGUUUUCUUCAGUUACAAAAUAUGUAAAUAGGGCUAGUGCUAUUUCAGUUGUAUGCAUGUUAAUUGUAUUGUGUUAGGUACAAGUAUGACUGUAAUUUUCUUUAUUUAGAGACAGUGUAUGGUUUAAGUAAGUAUGUAAAGAUGCCAAGUUGACAAGGGGUGGACUUUGAUGGUUAAGGUUGUGUGUCAACUUGGCUGGGCUAUGAUUCCCAGUGGUUUGGCAGUUAUGUAAUCAUGUAGUUUGGCUGUUGUGUAAUGAUAUGAUUUGGCAGUUAUGUAAUGAUGUAGUCCUCCUCCAUGAUGUGAUCUGAUAUGAUCAGCCAAUCAGUUGUGAGGGGAAUUUCCUUGGGGAUGUGGCCUACAUCCAGUAAAUAUAUGGAUAUCUGGCAAAGCUCACUUGCUUGCUCUGGAUCCUGCAUCCAGCUCAUCAUCAUCUGACCUGUUCUUGGGACCUGAGACUGAUGAUCUCGGGAUUCAUCAGGCUCUGCAGGCUGUGAGCCAGCAGCCUACUGUCUGACCUGCUGAUCUUGCAUUUGUCAAACUCUGUAGCCUGUGAGCCAGUGUCAUGACAUCUGACCUGCCAAUUUUGUGUUCAUUAGGCUGUGAAGCUACGUGAGUCAGGAGAAAACUGUAGCUUGACGCAUGACCCAUAAACCUGGGACUUGCCAGCCUCUGUACCUACAUGAACCAUUUCCUUGAGAUCAGUCUCUUCUUUCUCUCUACCUAUUUACACUUUGCUGGUUUGCUUCUCCAGAGAACUCAGCCUAACACAGGUAACUACUCUUCUCCUGAUUUUACGUCUCCACUUCCACACUGGCCUCCUACACUCCGUUCCCCAGUAUUCUGAAAAUGUGAAUUAGUUCAUGUUGUCCCCUGCUUAAACACCUCCAGUGGCUUUCAGUUUUACAUCAAUAAAAUAUGAGCUCUUCCCUGAGGCCUAUUUCUCCAAUUUCAUGAUAUGCUAUUCCCCCUUUUUUCAUUUUAAUAUUGCCAAACUUUUGACUUCUGAACAGGCCAACUUAUUCUUCUCCUCAGGGCCUUUGCAUAUGCUGUUUCUUCUGCCUGGAAUGCUCUUCCCUUAUGUGUUAAUAUUCAGAUCUCAGGUCAAAUGUCACCUCCUCAGAGAAGUCUUCUUUGUUCACCUGCCUAGAGUAGCCCUUUUCACUCAUACUUGAGCUCAUUACUCUGUUUUAUUUCUUUUACUGCACUUUAAGAGCUUGGUUGCUAACCAAAAGGUCGGCAGUUCAAGUCCACUGGCAAUUCCUUGGAAACCUUAUGGGGAAGUUCUAUUUCGUCCUAUAGGAUUGCUAUAAGUAGGAACUGACUCAACGACAAUGAGUUUGGUUUUUGGUAUCCCUAAUUGUUGUUAGCUGCCAUGGAAUUGACCCCUGACUCCUGAAGACCCCAUGCACAGUGGAAUGAAACACUGCCUGGUCCUGCACCAUCCCCAUGAUCAGUUUUGAAUUAGGGUUUUGAGCCAUAGGGUUUUCAUUGGUUGAUGUUUGAAAGUGGAUCACCAUGCCUUUCUUCCUAGUUUGUCUUAGUCUGGAAGCUCUGCUGAAACCUGUUCAGCAUCAUAACAACAUGCAAACCUCCACUGACAGAUGGCUGGUGGCUGUGCAUGAAGUAUAUUGGCUGGGAAUUGAACCCAACUGUCUUGCAUGGAAGAUGAGAAUUCUACCACUGAACCACCACUGCCUUCUAGCCAUAAUGACCUUAUUUACUUAUUUGUUUACUAGUUUCUCCUCUGUCUCUUCAGUUAGAAAGUUCCACCACAAGUGCAGGGACUUUCUGCCUUAUCCCCCUCUGCAUUCUCUAAUCCUUGAAGCCUGCCACACUUACCUUCAAGGCUCCAAUCACACCACAGAACCACUGUGGUAAGGGCCUGUGGCCUCCGCUAGUGAGUAUCAGACACUGCAACUUGCACCAGAGUCACUCCUGCUACUGGAACUGGUUGAGUAGUCACCACUGAAAUGAGUUUUCCACUAUAUUGACUAAGAUGAGCUCACAUGCCAGUGGCAUCACUGUGGCGAGGCCAAUGAUCUCUGCCUCCCACUUAGGCACAUAUGAUAGGGAAAUGGAUCACCCCAGAAAGUUCCCUCAAGCUCUUUAUCAGACAACACUCCCCCCAUUCCAGAUGCAAUACUAUCCUGAUCACAUCGCCUGCUUUCUAUGGCUUCUAUCACUGAUUUCUAAUUUGAAUAGCUGAACUUUUGGUUAGGAGCUGAGCUCUUAACCACUGUGCCACCAGGGCUCCAAUUUCUAACUACUUUUAUCAGUUAUAGAGCUUUAUAUAAAUGCAAUCAUACCGUACACACUUUUUGUGUGUGUCUGGCUUCUCUCACUCAACAUGUUUUUGAGAUUCAUCCACGUUGUUGGAUUUAGGUGUGAUUGCUCUUCCUCAUGUUUAUCUCACAUACAAAACAUCUGAAAAAUUCAUCAUGAAUUGACUCUUUGUUUAAAUAUAAAGCAAUGCUAAAUAUCACUUGGAGGCCGAUUACAUCUUUUAAACAGGUCCUAGAGGCUAAAGGUAAUGUUGAUUAUUCUGAGAAAACUGAUUUACUCCAUGGUGGGUUUUAAAGAAUCAGCUCAAAAUAAUCUUAAUGUAAUAGCACAGAAAUAAGGAAGAAAUAAUAGAUCAUGCUUCUUUUUGCUCUGGUUUAGCACUCAGUGUUCCCUUUCCUUAAUUCUUUUGAGAAGAAUAUGAUGCCCUGCUUGGGCUUUAGAUCCAAUCCAUGCAUUUAUCCAACAAGUAUUUACUCCGUACUGGUGCUAGACUUCGUGUCAGUGAGUGAGGCUGAGUCCCUUCCUUCCAGGAGCUUACGUGCCCGUGGGGGAGAUGGACAAUAAACCCAUUCACGCAGCAUCUCAGGGAGUGAGAGUUGGAGUGAGAGAGCUGGGUACGAGGGUAGAGCCAGGUGGGUUGGGGAAGCUAUUUUAGACAGGCUGUUCUGGAGGGCUUGAUCCUCUGCAGAGGUGACAUUUGAGAAGAGGCCUGGAUGAAGGAAGGAAGUAAGCCAAGGAGAAAUCUGAGAUCAUUUCAGGCAAAGAGAAGAGCAAGAGAAAUUGCCUCAGACUUGUCCUAAAGGCAGAGGUUGCAAAGGAAACUUCCAGUUGACUUGCCAGUUUCUGGUAAGAAUGUUGAUCAGACUAAGACCCAGGGAAGCUGAGGGUAAACGAAGUCAGCCCUCCAGCUAGCACAUACAGUCUGUUUCCAUAUUGCACGUGUGGAAACCUAGAUUCAGAGGUGAAGUAUCGUGCUUAAAGUUACAGACAUAGUAAGUGGCAGAGCCUAUGUAUUUUUUCAGAAAAAGCUUAACACUUGAGUUUGUGAUACCAAAAAAAAAAAAAGAACUCGUUGAGGUUAAGUCAAUUCCAACUCAUAGUGACCCUAUAGGACAAAGUAGAAGUGUCCCAUGGGGUUUCUGGUGGAUUAGAACUGCUGACCUUUUGGUUAGCAGCCAUAGCUCUUAACCACUAUGCCAUCAGGAUUUGAGUCUGUGAUAAGGAAAACUAUAAUUCAAGUUUAGCUGGCAGAGGAACUAUAUCUUCAAAAAGGUGACAAGGGCAUGUAUUUGAAGAGGUACAAGUAGAAAAGGAGUUUUCAUGUAGAAAGUUCUAAUUAUCCCAAUAGUAUCUUUCAGUAGGCUUCAUCAAGGGGUAAUUUAUAUAAAUAAAAUGCAUAGUCACAGUAAGUAUACAGUUCAUUCAGUUUUGACAAUGUAUACACACCUGUGUAUCCACAGCUAUAAUCAAGAUACAGAAUAUUUUCAUUGCCCUAAAAAAUUUCCCUUGUGCCCCUUUGCAAUCAAUCCUUAACCCCCUUGACAAUCACUGAUCUGCUUUCCGCAACUAUAAAUUAGUUCAGCCUUUUCUAGAGUUUCAAAUAAAUGGAAUCAUAAGGCAUAAAUCUUCUCAGUCCAGCUUCUUUUGCUCAGCACCAUGACCAUGAGGUCCAUUCAUGUUGUGGCAUGUAUCUAUACUUCACUCCGUUUUACUGUUGAGUAGCAUUCCACUGUAUGAGCAUCUCAUGGUUUGUUUAGGAGGCAAGAAGUGCUGAAACACAGGCCACACUGGAAGGAGUUUUUGAUCAGGAGGCCUUUGGGUACUGGUACUGUUGUUUCUGGAGCCCUGGUGGUGCAGUGGUUAAGAGCUACAGCUGCUAACCAGAGGGUUGGCAGUUCGAAUCUACCAGCUGCUCUUUAGACACCCCAGGGGUGGUACUACUGUGUCCUAUAGGGUGGCUAUGAGUCAGAAUCGACUUGAUAGCAAUGGGGUUGUUUGGAUUUUACUGUUGUUUCUGGGAUGUAUUGAUGAUAGAUUUGGAGAUGUGUGGUCUAACUGGUGGGCUGGGGGUGGUUCUGCCCAGAGGCUCCUCCGGGUGGAAGUGGCCUCUGAACCUUGUCUCUUUUUCAAUCCAGUGACCUCUCUAGAUCGCCUUGUCUUAACUUCCUGCUUUGUCAGCAACUCUAUGGGCUUUUUUUUUUUUCCAAUUCAACCUUGACAAUGACUCCACGAGGGGAGUGUUACAGUUAUAGAGGAGGACACAGAGGCUUUGGGAGGGGGUGAGUUUGCUCCGAGCUAGUCAGCCUUAUGUUGCAGGGCUGGCGUUCCCGGGUGGUGCAAAUGGCUUGCACUUGACUACUAACCUAAACGUUGGUAGUUUGAACCCCACCCCCAGCAGUGCUGCAGAAGAAAGACAAGGUGAUCUGCUUCCAUAAAGAUUACAUCCAAGAAAACCCUACGGCGCAGAUCUACUCUGUAACAUAUGCGGUUGCCAUGAGUCAGAACUGACUUGACAGCAACAGGGAUUUUGUGUGCGUGUGUGUGUGUGUGUGUGUGGCAUGCCAAGACUUGGGUCCAGUUUCUUCCUUUCCCUCUGUUACUUUAUCACACUUCUCUGCAACAUCCCCACCUGCAUGGCAAAGAGUCUGGAAUGUGACUGGGCUCUGCUCACGAGCCAGUCCUUGAGGUUCUUGCUGUUGUAUAGUGUGGGAAACCACUUGAGGAAAACUGCUUUGGAUUUGCUAUUGGUGGAUGUGUAGGGAAGAGGAACUCAUACACGUUCUUUGAUUUACAUCAAAGACUGAAAAGGGAUGCUUUCUAAUGGGUUUGAAUAAAAAAAUCUCAUGAACAGAUCUUCUGUGUUAUAGCUAAGGCACUCAAAAUUUUCAGCACUAUUACUUUUCUUUGUUUAAAGAUGCUGAUGGUUAACUUACAUAGAAACCAAACCAAACUCACUGCUGUCAAGUCAAUUCUGACUCAUAGUGACCCUAUGGGACAGAGUAGAACUGUUCUGUAGGGUUUCUAGAUCUUUAUGGAAGCGGGUUGCCACAUCUUUCUCCAGUGGAGCAGCUGGUGGAUUUGAACCACUGACCUUUCAGUUGGCAGCCAAGAGCUUUAACUACUGCACCGUCAUAAAUUAUGGCUCUUUCAAGGCAAUUUCUAGCAGACCUGAAAAUAUCUAGACUCUUCAUGACCAAAACACUGCCUUUCAGGUGUAUAUUUGAUUUUUUGGAUAUUUUUACAUUGGGUGACCUUCAGUUGUAAUUGAUGUGAGGGCAAUGGCUUUGAUUUUUUUUUGCAUGCUGCAAAGAGCAGACUGUAUUUGAUUCACUUGGAGGAAAAUGCCACACAGAAGUGUGGCCAAGCUUGGAGAGCAUAUUGGGGUCUAAAGCCUGUCUCUCUGUUGAUGGUGCAUAUGUGUCGUUACUGCCCAGUGUACUAUAUACAGUACCUUAACACUCAGAGUUCUUCGUUGCAUACAGCAGAAUCCCCUCCUCCUACUUUAAACAGAAAGGGAUUUGCUAAAGGAUUUUAGAUAGUUUGCAGAAUCUCCUGGGUGUUUUGAGAACCAGGCUUGGGAGCGUAUUGUCAGGAACACAGUAGGGAGAAAUAGCCAGUCAUAUCAAGGCCUCUUCUAGCAAAAACACUUUUGCUGUUGCCACCUGCUGCUCAGCAGCUGUAGUGCUGGGAACCAAAUGUCUCCUUUGGAGAGCCUGCCAGAUCAUCUACUCACCCGCUGGCAGCCUCACCCCCCAUUGCUUGCUGCCUCAUCUAGGCCUCUUAUCAGACAGGCUGAAACCAGGUUGCCCACCUGUACCUUAGCUACAGGGAAUUCUGGGAAAUAUGGUUUUUAACUUUUCAUCCCUGACAGAACAGAGAGGCAAAUUAGGAGGGACUUGGAAUUGGAAUUGGUGCCGAGUGAACCAGCUUUCAGAAUCUGCAACAAGUACUAACCUGAAAUUUGGCAGUGACCAUGCCAUUCAAGGAAACCCUGUUGGCGUAGUAGUUAAGUGCUACAGCUGCUAACCAAAAGGUUGGCAGUUUGAUUCCUUCCACCAGGCACUCCUUGGAAACUCUAUAGGGCAGUUCUACUCUGUCCUAUAGGGUCGCUAUGAGUUGGAAUUGACUCGAUGGCAAUGGGUUUGCUUUUGGGUUUAUACCAUUCAAGCAUCAGAGCCAGAGUCUAUGUUUUUUCGUUCAAGGCAAAGUUUUGAAGUAGGAUUUUAGAGCCUCAGUUUCAUAAUUUGUAAAACAUGUCAAAAAAAUCCGGUUUUAGAGGUGUGCUCCUUGGGUCCUCCUUCAUGAAAGAACUUGUAGUUUCAGUGCAAAGAGUUCAGUUAGCUCACAGCCUUUACUUUCCAACAGAGGACUUUCUGGGUGGCCCACAGCCGGUGACCAAGCAUAGUGGGAAUACUAGGGCCUGUCUAUUUCUGUCCAAAGUGGUACUGUUGUGAUUGGAAAUCUUUGCUCCGGAACACCCUGUUGGGUGAAUCAGCAAAACUUUGUCAAAUCUGCAUCACAGGCCUUUCGCUGUUCAAUUCUGCUUCCUCCCCUUUCUACCCCCAAUAAACCUCUUGUAUUCCUAACUUCAUGUCAGUGUCUGCUUCCCAGGGGACCCAACUGACACAUAGGGCUUUUGAGAAGAUGAAAGAGGUAUCGAUCCAUGAAAGCAUUGAACAGAGUGCUUGAUAUACAAUUUCAAUGGUUUCUUCUUUGAUUCCUCCCCUUCCAUUUUAAUUUAUGUCUAAUUCAAUAGCAAAUUCUGUCAUUUCCACCUUCAAAAACAAAUUUUGAAUUAAUCUGUAUUAACCACUCCCAAUACUAUCACCCCAGUACAAGGCUACAUUGCUUUCUUAGUCUCCUAGUACUGCCAUAACGGAAAUGCCACAAGUGGGAUGGGUUAUAUUUCACACUGAUUUAACCCAAGUGGAUUUUAGUCACCUCUGGUUCUGCCACUAUAUCUUAUAUUCUGUAGGUAAUGUGCUGAAUCUGGCUUUUAAAAAAUGACGUCUGUUGAUAUAUUGACUGCUUUGUUUCAAAUUAUGAAUUUGUUUUUCAUGCUUUUAUUUUUUAAAAAAUGAAGUUUUUUUUUUUUUUUUUUGAAUAACCGUUAUGAAUCCUAGCCCCAAACUGAUGAAUAUGAUUUGGAGAUUUAUCCCUGAUUCUCACAGUUUUAGAGGCUAAAACUCCAAAUCAGUGUUAAUUUCUCACUUGUCUGUCGCCCCAGGAGAUGCUGGAUCCUUGGUUCCUUGGCUUAUAGACAUCCUCACAUAGCAUCUGUCUUCCCCCUCGUGUAUGCUUAUUUAUUCUGGUCUUUGUGUAGCUCAGAAGUGAUUAGGUUUAGGACCCACUCUGCUGGUAAGACCUCAUUAAAGUAACAAAAAACCCUAUUUACAAAUAGGGUCAAAUUUAUAGGUACUCCGUUGAAAACCCGUUGCCAUCAAGUCAAUUCCAACUCAUAAUGACCCUACAGGACAGAGUAAAACUGCCCCCACAGAGUUUCCAAGAGGUGCCUGGUGGAUUCAAACUGCAGAUCUUUUGGUUGGCAGCCAUAACUCUUAACCUUUGAGCCACUAGGGUUUCUGAUUUAUAGGUAGAGGGGUUAGGAUUUCAAUAUAUAUUUUGGAGUGACACAAUUCAAUCCAUAGUAACUGUCUCUGGCCUGGACCCUCACUAGCCUCCCAGUUAGUCUUUCUACUUCCUUUCUUGCCUCACUACACAGAAGUCAGGGAGAUCUUUUAAAUGCUUAAAUCUGAUCACUUCAUCCCACUGCUUGGAAUCCUUCAAUGGCUUAUCACACAUGGAGUAAAAUCCAAACUCCACUGUGACUCUCAAGGUACUUAUGCUCAGGCCCAGACACAGCUGCAGCUUCAUCUCUUGCUACUCCUAGCAGCUCCAGCCACCCUGGGGCUCAUUACCUUAAAUGAUAAGCUCUUUCCCACCUUGGGGCAGGUGCACUGGCUGUUUUGCACUGUCUGGAAAGGUCUCUUGCCCUGCUUUUCUCUUAGCUGGAACCUCCUCUUCGUUCAAGCCUCAGCUCAACGUCACUUCUUUGAAGAGGUCUUCGCUAACCACCCUGCGUUAAGAAGGUAUAUCUGUCAGGAUUGGCUGCAUUAUGGUGCACUAACGAAUGGCUCCAAGAUCACAGCGGCUUACAACAUGUCCAUCAAGAGUCAGCUGCCACUCUGUUCCAUGACAGCUUCACUCUGGGACACAGGCUAAUGGAUAGCCUCUACCUGGGACACUGCUGGACUUACGGCAGAGAGGACAGAUGGUGAACCACCAAUUCCUCUUUAGGUUUCUGCCUGCAGCAAUACACAUCACUUCCAGCCAUAUUUUAUUGCCACUUGGACACUCCUGAUAUCGACUGGGUGGAGACGUAUAAUGUUCCCAUAAGGUGCGGCACCUCAAAUUCCACGCCAAGCCUGAAACUGAUGAGCUGGGGAAGUACAGUAUUCUCCCAGGGUGGUGCUGCACAUAGUAUUUUGAACAACAAUACAAUCUACCUUAAAGAUCAUUCCCAUUCUGUAUUCUCUCUCAGUUCCUCUUGUUGGCUUUCUUCCAUACCAACACAUUGCUGCUGAGUCUGACUCAGAGCGACCCUAUAGGACAGAACAGAAUUGCCCCCAUAGGGUUUCCAAGGCCAUAAUUUUUAUGGAAGCAGACUACUACAUCUUUCUCCCUAGGAGCGGUUGGUGGGUUCCAACUGCCGAUCUUUCAGAUAGCAGUCUAGUGCUUAACUACUGUACUAUCAGGGGUCCUCCUUUCUUACAUAAACCAAAGCCAAACCAAAUCAAUUGCCAUCAAGUUGAUUCUGACUCAUAGCGACCCUAUAGGACAGAGUAGGACUGCCCCCAUAAGGUUUCCAAGGAGUGGCUGGUGGAUUCAAACUGCCACCUUUUGGUUUGCAGCCUGAGCUCUUAACCACUGUGCCACCAAGGCUCCCUUUCUUAUAUAACUCAGAGAGACCCUACAGGAUAGAGUAGAACUGCCCCACAGAGUAUCUGAGGAGCACCUGGGGGAUUUGAACUGCCGACCUUUUUAGUUAGCAACUGUAGCACUUAACCACUAUUCUACCAGGGCUUCCCUUUCUUAUAUAACAAAACCCAUUGCCUUCGACUCGAUGGCAGUGGGUUUCUUUCUUAUAUAGUACUUACUAAAUCUGUUGCCAUCUAGUUGACUCCAACUCAUAGUGACUGCACAGGACAGAGUAGAGCUGCCCUACAGGGUUUCCAAACCCUGGUGGCACAAAGGUUAAAGCCCUAGGCUGCUAACUGGAAGGUUGACGGUUCAAACUCAUCAGCUGCUCUGCGGGUGAAAGAUGUAGUAGACUGCCCUUGUAAAGAUUACAGCCUUGGAAAACCCAUGGGGGCAGUUCUACUCCGUCCUAUAGUUAUUUACAGUUUGCAAUUAUAAGUGCUAUAGGGUCGCUAGAGGGUAGGCAGCAAGUUUGGUUUAAUCUUUAUGGAAGCAGACUACCACACCUUUCUUCCACUGAAUGGCUGGUUGGUUCAAACUGCUGACCUUUCAGUUAGCAGCGGAGUGCUCUCAACCACUGUGCCACCAGGACUCCUAUAAAACCAAAAAACCAAACCCAUUGCCAUCGAGUUAAUUCUGACUCAUAGUGACCCUAUAGUACUUGUUAUAAUUGGAAAUUGUAAAUUAACUCACAUUUAUUUAAAAACUAUGUGCACACGUGUGUGUGGGUGUGUGUACGUACGUGUACAUAUAAGUGUGUAUAUUGUGUACAUGUGUGUAUGUGAGCCCGCGUAUUUGUGUGUGCUUAUAUGUAUAUAUAUAUGUAUAUAUAUAUAUGGAUACGUAUGUGUAUAUGUGUGUCGGGGUGUGGGUACAUGUGUGUAUAUAUGUGUGUGCACAUAUAACAGAAGCCUUGCCUAUGGUAGGUUUUUGAUAAAUUGUUACAAAAUGAAUGAAUAAAUAAACUUGAAACAUGAAAAGGGCCCAGGUUUUGCAAUCAGACAGAAUUAGGUGUGAAACCUAGCCCUGCCUCUUAAUAUAUGUGAUCUUGGGCAAGUUAACAAAUAUCACUGACUCUUUAAAUUUAAAACAAGGAUGAUAAAACUUUAUCAGAGUUGGCCCAUAGAUGGCACUAAAAAAACAUUAGUCUUCUUCCCACUUUUAUCAUUUUGUGUCCUUGUUUCAUUUAGCACAUAUGAGCAUGAACAUGACAUUUAUUAUAUUGCAGCAAAUACGAAGCGAGAUUUUUCUUUUGGCUUUUAUUCAGAAACCCCAUUCGUUUGGGAUUGGUUAUAUUUCACAGUGAUUUACCCAAGUGGAUUUCGGUGACCUCUGGCUCUGCCACUAUGUCUUGUAUUCUCUAAUUAACGUGUUGAAUCUGGCUUAAAAAAAAUGACAUCUGUUGAUAUACUGACUGCUUUGUUUCAAUUUAUGAAUUUGUUUUUCAUGUCCUUAAGUAGAAAGAAAAAUGGUUUUUUUUUCUUUUUUUAAUAACCAUAAUGAAUCUUAGCCCCAAAUUAAUGAAUGUGAUUUGAAGAGUUAUCCCUGGUUCUUCCUGUGUUUGAUACAAUAGUAACCUCUUGUCUUAGGCUAGAUUCUCUAGGGGAACAGAACCAAUGAGACAUAUAUAUACAUAUACUUACAAAAAAAAAAUUUUUUUUUUUUACAUAUACAUAUAUACAGAUAGAGAGAGAGAGAAAGAAAGAGAGAGAUUUAUCUCAAGGAAAUGGUUCAUGCAGUUGUGAAGGCUAGCAAGUCCCAAAUCCAUAGGUCAGGCAUCAGGCUGGAGGCUUCUCCUGACUCACAUCGUUGCACAGGCUGACGAACCCAAAAGUGGCAGAUUAGGCAGAAAGCUGCUGGCUCAUGGGGUUACGGGAGCUGGCAAAUCCCAACAUCUGCAGGUCAGGCAGCAGAUUGCUGGCUCACAUCCUGAGAAUUGGAGAUCAGAGGAGGAUGAAUCAGAAUCAGGACCCAAAGAGAGCUUUGCCAGAAUAUCCAUAUACACUGGAUGCAGGCAACACCCCCUCCCCACAAGGAAACUGAUUGGCUUUCAACUGAUUGCACUUUGACUGACAGACCUUUUAACUUGUUGGCUGCUCACAUCAGAUCACCAAAUGGAGAAUGAUUAUGUAAUAUCUGCCUAGACACUGAGAGUCAUGGCCUGGCCAAGUUGACACCUAACCUUAACCAUUACACCUCUUACAUACAGACUAUCAGCCAUCCUCCAUCCAAUAUGUAGAGAUUAUGGUCUUUGGAGAUUUCUGGCAAAAUUUUUGGAUCCACAGUCUUAUUUCAUUAUACGACUUUGGAUAAAUCACUUCCCCUUCCUGAGCCUCUACUCUUGGGUAAAAUGAAGAUUCAAACCAAACAAGUUGCAGCUGAGUCAAUUCUGACUCAUGGCAGUCCCACAUACAUCAGAGUAGAACUGUGCUCCACAGUGUUCUCAGAGGUUGAUUUUUUUUGGAAGUAGAUCUUCAGGCUUUUCUUCAUAGGUAUCUUUGGGUAGACUAGAAGUGCCAACCUUUUGGUUAGCAGGUGAGUGCUUAACCAAUUACAUCUGUAUCAUUUCCUCAUCCAGACAGGAUGGGUACAGGCUCCUAUGUCAUGCCCAAGAAUCAGAAUUGGUGCAGGUUAAUGGAUUUUACUGGCCCAUGGGCUGUGGUUCACGUUACCCAGGGGGCUAGAGGAGAGAAAAAAUACUGAAGAGAACCAAAAACAAAAACAUGAGUGCACCAUCAAAGGAAUCCUUGGUCUGAAGGGUCUAUAUGGAUGGGGUGACUCACUGAGUGUGUUAACCAUUGGCGCCACUCAACUGCCCCAUAUGGUUUCCAAGGAGCAGCUGGUAGAUUUGAACUGCCAAACUUUUGCUUAGAAGCCAAGCUCUUAACCACUGUGCAACCAGGGCUCCAAGUGGAUAUUAAUGGAGCCAAACUUCAAAACUAGAUCUGCCCUAUUCAAUGCUCCUUCCAGUGCAGCUCCAUACUACUUUCUCACAGAAUUAGGACACAAGAAGCUGGGGGAGGGGGGUGUGAAGAGUAAACAAUGAUUACAUUGUAAGGAGGGAAAGUGAUUUAGCCAAUGGCAGAGGUGGGCUGGGGGAAGAGGCCUUGGCUCAUGAAUCCCUUUGAGAUUUGAAGGAUACUCUCUGGGGUUCUCUAAUCAUAUGUUGCCUCAUGGGCCCAAAAGGCAACUUAGCAGCUUUUGUUUCUCCACAGAGCAAUGAUUUCCAGGCUCCAGAGCCUAUUUCAGCAUUUCCUCUGUAAACAUCCUUAACUGGGCUUCAUGCUUUCUGCAGCUGGCCUAAGGAAGACUCCCUAAAGUGAAAAAUAAAUUCUAUAGUACAUAGCACAAACAAUUUUUGUGAAUUAGCCUGUCUUUUCUCUUAGUUUAGGGUGUGAUUUUGCUAUCAAGUGCACGUAAACUUUUGAGUUCAUGAGACAAUGUAUGAUUGAGUGCAAAAAAAAAAAAAAAAAAAAAAAAAAAGAAGAAGAAAACCAGUAUAGCUGAACCAAUCUCUAUUUCCAACCCCAAUUUCCCUUGCCUGCCUAGAUUUCUUUUUAGAUUAAAAAAAAAAAAUUGUUGUUGUUGAGAAUAUACACAGGAAAACAUACACCAAUCGAACAAUUUCUGCAUGUAUAAUUCAGUGACAUUCUUACCCUCCUUUUCUGAGUUGCUCCUCCUCCAUUAACAUAAACUCACUGCUUCCUGUUUCUUCUUAGAUUUUAAAUCUAAAAGCCAAGAUCUCUACUUCUGGAUAUGGAAUAACAGGAACUGGAAUUUGUCUUCCACGAAACAGCGUAUAAUAUUAAAAAAAAAAAUGAAACAAAAGGCUUUGAAGUCACUAAAUGACAAGCAUGAAAGCCAAUGAUCCCUGAGAGAUGGGAAACAAAUGAGGCAAGUCCUACAAUUGUCCCAUCUUACUGCUCAAGAGAGUUUCUAGGCCAUGCUGCAGAGAAGGGAACAUAGGUGAAGUCUGGAGAACUCUGAAUAGAGGAGAUAGAUCUGAGAAUUCAGGGAGACCAAAGCAGCUAGAGCAUUUGGAAGAGUCCUGGAGAGGAAAAAGUUGCACAGAGAUCUCUAGAGAUUUGCAGAGAGUCCCUUUUGAGUACUCAGCAGAGAACUGAUCAGUACUUCCAUGUGAGGAAAUUAGUUGAAGCCAGGGAAAAAAACUCCCAAAAGGUUUAGAGGGAAGAGUAACUGGUGCUCAUGCAGAGCCAGGAAUAGCGCUUGUUGCCACCAGCCAGACUGGAAAACCUCAUAAUUUAUGGGACAUUGGGUAGAGUACCUAGGCAAUCCUUGCCUCAGCAGUGGAAAAUAAUUAGCUCCAGACUGAAGACUAUUAUAGUUUUACCUAAUAAAUCUUAAAUGAAAGACCUGAAAGGAUCAAACUGUUUUCAAGUAACUUAACUGUGUUCCAGAAAAAAACUCAAGGAUAUUUGUAGGAAUAUAAAAAGAUCCAGGACCCAACAAAGUAAAUUUCUCAAUAUGUGGCAUCCAAUAAAAAAUUAUCAGGCAUACAAAUAAAAUAUGGCCUAUAAUGAAGAGAAAAAUCAAUGAAUUGAACUGACUUGACACAGAGGUUAGAAUUAACACAGAAGGACAUUGAACCAGUUAUGAAAACUAUAUUCUAUACAUUUAGAAAGUUUACAGACAUAGAAGAUGUAAAACAGACACAAAUUGAACUUCCAGGGGUGAAAACUACAAUGUGUGAGAUGAAAGAUAUGCUGGAAGGGAUUAGCAACAGAUUAAACACCACAGAAGAAAAACAUUAGUGAACUUGAAGAUACAGCCAUAGAAACCAUCCAAAAUGAAACAGGGAGAAAAGAAAGCUUUUCCAAAUGUGUUGAAAAGUAUAAACUCACAGAUCCAAGACACUCAACAAAUCUCAAGCAUGGCAAGGGUUUGAAGAAAACCAUAUCAAAGUACAUCUUGAUUGAAUUACUCAAAACCAGUAAUAAAGAAAAAAACUCAAAGGCAACAGAGAAAAAAUGAUAUGUCCAGAGGGGCACAUGUAAGGAUGACAGCAGAUUUCUCACUAGAAACAGUGCAAGUAAGAAGACAGUGGAUCAACAUUUUAAAGCAUUAAAACAAACAAACAAACGAACAAAAAACUGUCAAGCUAGAAUUCCAUACCCAGCAAAAACCAACUUUCAAAAGUGAAGGCAAAACUAAGAUUUUUCAGACAUACAAAAUCUGAAAAAAUUCAUCACCAGCAGAUCUGCACUACAAAAAUGUUAAAGAUAGUCCUUGAGGCAGAAAGAUAACACCAGAUGGAAUUAUGCAUCUGCAUAAAGGAAUGAAGAGCAUCAGAAUGGUUCUGGCAGCCUGUGACAAGGAAAGGCGGGACGGAGAGCCAACCCGCCUAGGCGCUGGAGCUGGUGCGAGCGCAGUCGGUCCUUGCGCGGACGCAGCCUGGGCUCUGGGAUCCGUAGCCGCCCGCAGAGGGCGCUCGGGUUGGGGCGCUCGCGGGUCUCGGGGCGCAGGCG